GGGUCCGGACACACUGAGGAUUGACAGAUAUACGUCGUGCGUUGAGCUCUCUCGGGGGCCGAGCGCAUGACUGAAAGAUGCUAGUUCUUUCAUGAUUAUGUGAUAGGUGGUGCAUGGCCGUUCUUAGUUCGUGGAGUGAUCUGUCUGCUUAAUUGCGUAUCAUAAAAAGAGACCUAGUAUACGCGUAAGAUAUCGUUUACGGUUCGUGACCCCCUUCGGGCGUGUGUCGCACGUACGUAUCAUACGCACUGGUCUCCGAUAGCAACGAACGUGACCGUACUCUAUUGUUGCAGCGAAUGUAUGCAUCUUCGGGUGUAUCUACCGCUGCUUAGUGCGUAUGCGUACUUCGGUGCGUGUCGUACAUUAAACUAUAGAGACCGCUGUAUUUUUUUUAAACCAGAGGAAGGAUACGGCAAUAACAGGUCUGUGAUGCCCUCAGAUGUUCCGGGCUGCACACGUGCUACAAUGAUCAUUGCACUGUGCAUCUAACCCAAUGUGCGUGGACGCCACGGUAUGUAUUUAUGCUUCGGCGUAGUAUAUAUCAGUUGGUCGGUCGCGCCGAACCUACUUCGAAAGUAAAAUUUCUCAGUGGGU
rnacentral:rRNA from 1 species